GCAAAGCGUUGCCGCUUGUUGCCAUUUGGCAACACGGAGUUCACGCGGAAUGUGAAGCGGGCAAAAGCACACACAUGACGCGAAAUAUUCGCAGAAUCCGCGUUUGGUGUGAACGCACCAUUAGAGAACCGAUGGUUGCGCAGGGAAACAAUGCAAACCUCAGGCAGAAUGUGUUGGUCAGGAUUCUUAUCCGGGAUCAACAGGGCCAAGCCAUUAGUGCAGCUUCGAAAUGUUGUGUGCUUUUCUUCAGUUCAACUUUUUUUAUAUAGCAUAAAUUUACAAUUUCAUCUUAUUGUACUUUACAAAAAACUAAGCAAAAAAAGAAACAAAAAACCAUUAAAAUGUAUUCAUAGAAAUACAUGAUAUUGCCAAAAAUUUUGGGCCACACCAAAUCAAGGCAUUCCAGUGUUCCCAUCACUUCCAUGGCUGCAGGUGUUUAAAGUUUGGUGUGGAGAAACGUGACUGGCCUGCACAGAGCCCAGCAGAUUGCAUCAUGUUGUUGAGUUUGCAGCAAAAUACUGUUUAUGCAUGUGGUGAAAGCAGAAAGGAAAACUCUUUAAAAGGAAGAACCCUCCAGUAGAAUGUGACACAGUGUGAACGACCAUCUGCUGUGACCAACUGGGGGGUUUGAGAAGAAAAACUUCAAUCUCUAGAUGCGCAAAACUGGCAUGGACAUACUGCACAAGACUUACAGCUGUAAACGCAGCAUAUGGUUGUUCUAAAGCCUGCUGAUUUAGAGGGACUGAAAACAAAUGUAUGCCAGACUUUUUUAGAUUUUUGUAGGUAUAAAGAAUUUAAAAGGAUGUAUCACUUUCCUUCAACUUCACAAUCAAGCACUACUUUGUCAAUAUAGGAUCCUAAUAAAGUACACUGAAGUUGUGGUUGUGAAAAAAAUGUAAAAAAAAUAAAAGUUAAAGAGGUGUGAAUACUUUUGGAAGGCACAUUAUACAGUACAAACAAAUUAACGUCCAAACCUAUGCUCUCUACUAUGAUUCUACUGAUGGCUGUGCCUGUCCUCUUGUUACAGCUCCACAGCAGAACCGACUGCUGGCGCAACUGAAGUUCUUCAAGCCUUGACAUUUGACAAGUCAGGUCAAGGCGCACGUGGUUACUCAUUUCAGCUUGUCCAUUCACAGUGUUGCCAUGUCCUUCCUGCCUUUUGCAAUGUAACCCAAAUUAUUUAUUUAUUAAUUAGCAUCUGAAUGUGGGAAGUUUAACUCUUUUUAAAGCCGAAGUAUAACAGGACCGUCUGAAAGAUUAGGUCAGCAGUGUGCGCCUGUGUCGUAUGUUCACUACAAAUAAAGCUGCUUGAAAGAAACACGCCUCCCUAGUUAAGACGGACUCGUAUGUGAGCCUGUCUGUUACAGAGUCCAGCCUGGACUUUAAAUGCAUCCAUGGUUGCGAGGAUGUGCCAAAGAGCCUGUUUACUUCCAUAUCUUGCCUCUGUAAAAGCUGUUUACCUUGGACCCGAUGGCGGAGAGCUAGAACACACAAUGGACAACAAUGGACUGGAAUUGCAUUUGGCCUGAUCCUGCUUCCUUAAAGACAACCGUUGUUACUGUAGAUUUAUAUUUAUUCCAGUUGCAAACCAAACAUGAGUUAAAAGUGAGCAGGGCUCUUGGGAUCCGUCAGUCCACAUUCAGAACCAUGCGUAACCUAUGGAUCCUGAGGCUGUACUCUGACCUCUGUUUCUUUAUUUCUGUUUGUUUUAGGUUACCGUGAUCAGAUGUGAAGGGACAUGUAAAGGGUCCAUUUUCUCCAAGCUGAAACUUGGUGCUGGUGGGGGAUAGUGGCAACUGAUCUUCACGAGAUGGUCACAUCUUGUCAUCAGAACACUCUUAAAUAUGAGACCAUAAAGGGGGGCCGCUUUGCCAAGUGAUGCAGGAUCCUCAUCCUCUGCAUUCAUUAUGAAAAAACCCAGAGAGUGUACCUGGCAGAGCCUCAGCUGGUGCAACUUGCUGUUCUGUGUGCAGGUGUGUGUAUGUUUUAUGUUUGAGUGCUACAGUAGCAGCUGAGGAAGAAACAGUACUGUACACAAAGGGUAAUGUUUUAAGUGAAUCAACUCCAGAACAAAUAAAUGUGAUUUCAAUUUCA